rnacentral:rRNA from 1 species
AACGAACGCUGGCGGCAGGCUUAACACAUGCAAGUCGAACGCAUCGCAAGAUGAGUGGCAGACGGGUGAGUAACGCGUGGGAACAUACCCUUUUCUACGGAGUAGCUCUGGGUAACUGGAAUUAAUACCGUAUACGCCCUACGGGGGAAAGAUUUAUCGGGGAAGGAUUGGCCCGCGUUGGAUUAGCUAGGUGGUGGGGUAAAGGCCUACCAAGGCGACGAUCCAUAGCUGGUCUGAGGGGAUGAUCAGCCAGACUGGAACUGAGACACGGUCCAGACUCCUGCGGGAGGCAUCAGUGGGGAAUCUAGAGAGAUGGGGGCAACCCUGACGCGGCCAUACCGCGUGAGUGAUGACAGUCUUCGGAUUGUAAAGCUCUUUCGGCGGGGACGACGAUGACGGUACCCGCAAAAGAAGUCACGGCUAACAUCGUGCCAGCAGCCGCCGUAACAC